rfam:Triticum urartu cultivar G1812 contig808566, whole genome shotgun sequence.
UAUAUACUCCCUCCGUCCCGAAUUACUUGUCUUAGAUUUGUCUAGAUACGGAUGUAGCUAGACACGUUUUAGUGUUAGAAAUAUCCGUAUCUAGACCAAUCUAAGACAAGUAAUUUGGGACGGAAGUAAUAUUAC